AUUUCAUUCAGGUGUGUUGGACCUGCGACACAUCCAAACGUUGCAGGGCACUGGCACUUAAAGGACUGGAGUUUGACACCCCUAAACUAAAGAAUCAUCUUACCACCAGUGCAGAGCUUGUUCACCACUGGAAGCAGGAUGUGUGGGAUCUGCAGAGAUGUUAGCUGCCCUUUUCCUGCACAAGUCCUGGAUUGAGGGAAGGUCAGCCUCAAUGAUUCUGUCUGCAGACCUUAUUGUUCAUUGCAGUGUGGAUCUGUCCUGUUUCCAACAACACAAGUACCAACAAUGUUAUCCUGAGACGGACGACCCUCCUGGCUCUUCCUGGCACUGAAAGUGAUGGAGUCUUUGAUGUUAGCGCCUCAAACCUUCAGCCCAACCAGAGAGCAUCAGCAACUGCACUCAGAGUCCUGCCCUGAUUAAAUUCAAAUGCACAUUUAUACUGUGUUUCUUCAGGGAAAAGGUGGAAUUUUCCCCACCGCAGCACACCAUGCUGAAGUCUUUAGCUAUCCUCAGAAGCACGUGGUAAACGGUUUUUAAAUGAGAAAUAUGGCAUGAUUUCUUAACCUCGUCACGUUUUAUACCAAAACCAAACAUUUUUCCUAUCAGUAUAUUUUACUGUGUCAGAUCACAUAAAACCACCAGCUUUGUCCUGUUGAAGUUUGCAACCCAAUGUCUGAAAACUGCCUGCAUAUUUCUGCAUUUUUAGGUAGUGCAAGGUUCUUUAUGCAUGCUUACUGAUAUAUUUUUUAUAGCUGCUGUUUUGAAUUUUGAAUAGAUAAACACAAACGUUUAUCGGAAGUUCGGUGCAGGAAGAACUGAUGCCUCUCCCAGAUUGACAAGCCUGACAGCUGCCACUGGUUUCCAGCAACUUCAAGAUAUCAAAUGACAAACUCUUGACUGCAACAUACCUUCAUAUUUUUCCCCAUAAAACAAAAAUAAUAUAGUCUGUGUCAGAGUUCUAGACUAUGCUCUCCAAGUUUCCACUCGGCCUGUGGCCUCUUAAGGCUCAGAUUCAGUUUGCCCAUGCUUGAAGAUGGUCAUCAUUUCUAAUGACUGGAAAAAUGAGGUUAAAUCAGAUUUGUGUACAGUGCUGGUUUUAAGCAGAUGUGUGUUUACAGUUAGAUUAAUUAACAAAUAACAGCUCGAUGUAAAACUUAUUUAAAAAUCAAUUCAAAUGUUUGAUUUUAAUUAAAAAUUACUGUCUCCACAAUUAAAUUUUUUCACUUUUGAAAAUGUUUUCAAUGCA